GUCCUAGCCGUAAACGGUGCACGUUUGCUGUAAAAGGAAUCGACCCCUUUUGUGGCGAAGCUAACGCGUUAAACGUGCCGCCUGGGAAGUACGGUCGCAAGAUUAAAACUCAAAGAAAUUGACGGGGGCCUGCACAAGCGGUGGAGUAUGUGGCUUAAUUCGAUGCAACGCGAAGAACCUUACCUGGCCUUGACAUGCAUAUAGUAGAAGCCUGAAAGGGUGACGAGGUAGCAAUACCAGUAUGCACAGGUGCUGCAUGGCUGUCGU
rnacentral:rRNA from 1 species